GGGUUGUGAGGUUAAGCGACUAAGCGUACACGGUGGAUGCCCUGGCAGUCAGAGGCGAUGAAGGACGUGCUAAUCUGCGAUAAGCGUCGGUAAGGUGAUAUGAACCGUUAUAACCGGCGAUUUCCGAAUGGGGAAACCCAGUGUGUUUCGACACACUAUCAUUAACUGAAUCCAUAGGUUAAUGAGGCGAACCGGGGGAACUGAAACAUCUAAGUACCCCGAGGAAAAGAAAUCAACCGAGAUUCCCCCAGUAGCGGCGAGCGAACGGGGAGGAGCCCAGAG
rnacentral:rRNA from 1 species